AAUAAGCACCGGCUAACUCUGUGCCAGCAGCCGCGGUAAUACAGAGGGGUGCAAGCGUUAAUCGGAUUUACUGGGCGUAAAGCGCGCGUAGGCGGCUAAUUAAGUCAAAUAUGAAAUCCCCGAGCUUAACUUGGGAAUUGCAUUCGAUGCUGGUUAGCUAGAGUGUGGGAGAGGAUGGUAGAAUUCCAGGUGUAGCGGUGAAAUGCGUAGAGAUCUGGAGGAAUACCGAUGGCGAAGGCAGCCAUCUGGCCUAACACUGACGCUGAGGUGCGAAAGCAUGGGGAGCAAACAGGAUUAGAUACCCUGGUAGUCCAUGCCGUAAACGAUGUCUACUAGCCGUUGGGGCCUUUGAGGCUUUAGUGGCGCAGCUAACGCGAUAAGUAGACCGCCUGGGGAGUACGGUCGCAAGACUAAAACUCAAAUGAAUUGACGGGGGCCCGCACGAGCGGUGGAGCAUGUGGUUUAAUUCGAUGCAACGCGAAGAACCUUACCUGGCCUUGACAUAGUAAGAACUUUCCAGAGAUGGAUUGGUGCCUUCGGGAACUUACAUACAGGUGCCGCAUGGCUGUCGUCAGCUCGUGUCGUGAGAUGUUGGGUUAAGUCCCGCAACGAGCGCAACCCACGUCGUUAGUUGCCAGCAUUCAGUUGGGCACUCUAGCGAGACCGCCGGUGAUAAACCGGAGGAAGGUGUGGAUGACGUCAAGUCAUCAUGCCCCUUACAUCCUGGGCUACACACGUACUACAAUGCUACGGACAAAGGGCAGCAAACUCGCGAGAGCUAGUAAAUCCCAUAAACCGUGGCUCAGUUCAGAUCGUAGGCUGCAACUCGCCUACGUGAAGGAGGAAUCGCUAGUAAUCGCAGGUCAGCAUACUGCGGUGAAUACGUUCCCGGGCCUUGUA
rnacentral:rRNA from 1 species